rnacentral:rRNA from 1 species
GACGAACGCUGGCGGCAUGCCUAAUACAUGCAAGUCGAGCGAACAGAUGAAGUGCUUGCACUUCUGACGUUAGCGGCGAACGGGUGAGUAACACGUAAGGAAUCUACCUAUAAGCGGGGGAUAACAUUCGGAAACGGGUGCUAAUACCGCAUAAUAUUUUCUUCCGCAUGGAAGAAGAUUGAAAGACGGCUCUGCUGUCACUUAUAGAUGACCUUGCGGUGCAUUAGUUAGUUGGUGGGGUAAUGGCCUACCAAGACGAUGAUGCAUAGCCGACCUGAGAGGGUGAUCGGCCACAUUGGGACUGAGACACGGCCCAAACCCCUACGGGAGGUAGCAGUAGGGAAUCUUCCGCAAUGGGCGAAAGCCUGACGGAGCAAUGCCGCGUGAGUGAAGAAGGCCUUCGGGUCGUAAAACUCUGUUAUAAGAGAAGAACAAAUUGUAGAGUAACUGCUACAGUCUUGACGGUAUCUUAUCAGAAAGCCACGGCUAACUACGUGCCAGCAGCCGCCGCUG